rnacentral:hammerhead_ribozyme from 1 species
AUCCUGAUGACGAGUGCCCUAUAGGACGAAACACGCGUCAAACUGGAU